rnacentral:rRNA from 1 species
UACGGAGGAUCCAAGCGUUAUCCGGAUUUAUUGGGUUUAAAGGGUGCGUAGGCGGCUUAUUAAGUCAGUGGUGAAAGCUCCAUGCUUAACAUGGAAAUUGCCAUUGAUACUGAUGAGCUUGAGUAUAUUUGAAGUGGGCGGAAUGUGUCGUGUAGCGGUGAAAUGCUUAGAUAUGACACAGAACACCGAUUGCGUAGGCAGCUCACUAAACUAUAACUGACGCUGAGGCACGAAAGCAUGGGGAUCAAACAGG